rnacentral:rRNA from 1 species
AUUGAACGCUAGCGGCAUGCUUAACACAUGCAAGCCGAACGGUAACAGGACUAGCUUGCUAGUCGCUGACGAGUGGCGGACGGGUGAGUAAUGCGUAGGAAUCUACCUCGUAGUGGGGGAUAACCCGAGGAAACUCGGGCUAAUACCGCAUAACCUCUACGGAGAAAAGUGGGGGACCUUCGGGCCUCAUGCUAUGGGAUGAGCCUACGUCGGAUUAGCUUGUUGGUGGGGUAAAGGCCUACCAAGGCAACGAUCCGUAGCUGGUCUGAGAGGACGAUCAGCCACACUGGGACUGAGACACGGCCCAGACUCCUACGGGAGGCAGCAGUGGGGAAUAUUGGACAAUGGGCGCAAGCCUGAUCCAGCAAUGCCGCGUGUGUGAAGAAGGCCUGGU